UGAGCUCAAAUUUAAAAUCUGGCAGUCUUUGCUUGUCCGAGUUGUAAUCUAGAGAAGUGUUUUCCGCGUUGGACCAUGUACAAGUUUCCUGGAACGGAACGUCAUAGAGGGUGAGAAUCCCGUCCUUGACAUGGACUCCCAGUGCUAUGUGAUACACUCUCAACGAGUCGAGUUGUUUGGGAAUGCAGCUCAAAAUGGGAGGUAAAUUCCUUCUAAAGCUAAAUAUUGGCGAGAGACCNAUAGCGAA
rnacentral:rRNA from 1 species